rnacentral:rRNA from 1 species
AUACGUAGGGUGCAAGCGUUAAUCGGAAUUACUGGGCGUAAAGCGUGCGUAGGCUGACGUGUAAGUCAGAGGUGAAAUCUCCGGGCUCAACCUGGGAACUGCCUUUGAUACUGCAUGUCUGGAGUUCGGAUGCCGUGGGAGGAAUGGGCAGUGUAGCGGUGAAAUGCAUAGAUAUUGCCCAGAACACCGAUUGCGAAGGCAUCUCACGAAUCCGACACUGACGCUGAGGCACGAAAGCGUGGGGAUCAAACAGGAUUAGAUACCCUGGUAGUCCACGCAGUAAACGAUGAUAACUAACCGCUGGGGUUUCGAUUUCAGUGGCCAAGCGAAAGCGAUAAGUUAUCCACCUGGGGAGUACGACCGCAAGGUUGAAACUCAAAUGAAUUGACGGGG